GAUGAACGCUGGCGGCGUGCCUAAUACAUGCAAGUCGAGCGAACAGACGAGGAGCUUGCUCCUCUGACGUUAGCGGCGGACGGGUGAGUAACACGUGGAUAACCUACCUAUAAGACUGGGAUAACUUCGGGAAACCGGAGCUAAUACCGGAUAAUAUAUUGAACCGCAUGGUUCAAUAGUGAAAGACGGUUUUGCUGUCACUUAUAGAUGGAUCCGCGCCGCAUUAGCUAGUUGGUAAGGUAACGGCUUACCAAGGCAACGAUGCGUAGCCGACCUGAGAGGGUGAUCGGCCACACUGGAACUCAGAAACGGUCCAGACUCCUACGGGAGGCACCAGUAGGGAAUCUUCAGCAAUAGGCGAAAGCCUGACGGAGAAACGCCGCGUGAGUGAUGAAGGUCUUCGGAUCGUAAAACUCUGUUAUUAGGGAAGAACAAAUGUGUAAGUAACUAUGCACGUCUUGACGGUACCUAAUCAGAAAGCCACGGCUAACUACGUG
rnacentral:rRNA from 1 species